GAUUAACAGUGCCCGGGGCAGAACUGCAGGCUCUGCAUCGAGGCCCAGCCCCCGCUGCUCUGGAAGCCCUCAGAAUUCUGUGGUUUAUCCUAAGGCAGCUGCUGAAGCAUUUUCCUAGCAGCUCAGCCCUGUUCCUCUCAAAUGUUCCGUGUGUGACAUGGCAAGUGUGCAUAAAGCACUCCUGCUGAAGAACGCAGUACUGUGAUGGCAUCUUGAGAAAGGCACUUGGGAUCUAGUUUCAGAUGCAACCCGAAUGCGCUGCUGCUUUUCGUGGAACGCCAUUUGUACCGGAAAGAGUGACUGGCAGACAAACCACAGCUGGGGAGAGUUACCAAACUGAGAAAGGGGCUAGAGGGAGAAGGGAAGAGGAGAAAUUCUGAACUCCAAGUGUGAACAGAGAGUGAGAUGCUCGUGAAAAGAUGGACAAAUGCCGAGUCCCAACAAUGAGCUGGAAGCUCGCCACAGCUGGAACUGGAAUUGCGACUAAACACAGCCUCUACUGAAAGGCUGCUUUGACGAGAUUUAUUGUUGCUACUGCGGGUGGAUUUCAAGUACUAACAUUUUGUACAGAGAAGAUCUUCUAUAUCAACAAUCGGACACUUAUUAUAAUGUUGGAAAAUAUUUCUCUCAGCAAGUCCCUCAUUUUAAAUAAUGGGAGAAAACAUAUUGAUUCACAAGACCACAAAAAAUUAUCACAAUGUCAUAAGAAAAUAUUUACUUUAUUCAUGACAGAGAUAUUAACUUGCCUUUAGAGAUAUUUUCUGGCAAAAUAAAGGUCUGAAUAUAAUCAUUUAGUUGUUAGGAGGAUAUUAGAAACACAUUUUCUGAAACAAAUUACUCUAAUGUGGACACAUUUUGAAUUGAGCAGAUUAUUUUUGAAGGACUUUAGAAUGCAUUGAGGAAAUUUGGUGGAGCAAGUCAACACAUUUCUUAGUAAUUGGCUUCCAAUUAAUUCUCCAUUUCUUUUUGACACAAAACUCUUGGGUACGGAGGGACAAGCUUAAGAUUGAGCCUGUGAAUAUGGGGAUUAUACUCUGCUAGGGGAAUUUUAAAAUUUAGAAAACUGACAUUACUGGUAUAAGCGAGAAUUUGAAAGUGAGCCCAAAAGAAGCUUUUCUUCACUUGCGAGCAAGGAACAUUUAUACCCCAGAGCACAGGGGAGGGGGAUCAAGUUCACCAGAAAAGGGAGAGAAGGAUUGGUUUGGGAGUUUCAAAAUGGGAAUUGGUCCUUCAUAAAGAUUGACCCGUCAACUGCCAGGACCUGGAUAGCCUGUUUAUGCUGUGGAUUUGACCCUGUGGGUCUACUGGGAAACAGAAGGAAUACGCAAAACUCUUAAGUUAGGCAAUCCAUAUUCUUACACCAGUCCUGCAAUAAAGACCAUAUUUCACAAGCAGAAGUGUAUUUUCAAACAUGGUUUGUACAUAGCUCUGCUGAAUGAUAGAGUAUUGGACUGAACUUAGUAUCCAGUAGUUUGACUUCCUAUCUUUCUCUGGUGUAUUGUCUCACCGUUUACACAUUCUUCAUUCAAAAAUAUUUAGAAGAAGCAGAGCAAAAUUAAGACCCCCACUUACUUUUCUGGUGCUGGUAUAUUUAAAAUUGUAGCAAGAAGUUAACUUUCAUUAUCUAAUAUUUAACCACUCUCUAUGAUAUUUACGUUUUCUUCC